UUGCUAUGAUGUACCCAUGGCUAAUCCCAUGUGUGGCAGCUGUUGCGAGAGUUCUUGAGCAAGCUGCUGGGAGGGGGAGAGGAAAGUGGCUGCAGUGAAGAUAAGGCCAACGGGCAGACCAACAGCUAUGGCUGGUACGCCAGCUGCAACGGAAAAGUCAGACCUGACCUUAGUCACUCAUGCUUUGGUGACAUCCAGAUUGGACUACUGCAAUGCACGCUACGUGGGGCUACCCUUGAAGACAGUUCAGAAGCUUCAGCAGGUCCAGAAUGCUGCUGCAAGGAUGCUGGUGGGGACUGAAAGGUAAUUUUCCAGUUUACAAGGAACUGCGAUCUAUCUGUUCUGUCAAGAGAAAAAGUGAUAGUUCUCCCAGGUAAAUAAAAAUACACAUUUGCCUUGCAUGGAAGCCUGUUCAGAGAACUGGAUAGAGGGGCAAUCUUUAUUCAAAGGAAAUGGCUUGGCUUGUAAAGCAUCAAGCAAUUCAUGGUUUUGUACAACUUAAGAAAGUGACAAAUUCAUAACAAACAAUCUGGUGGGAGGUAAGGAAC